rnacentral:sRNA from 1 species
AUCAACUCUUCAGCUGCUAAAGGUGCCACCUGUGAUAUCCUUGAAUUCCAAACCUCUAGUGAUAAGAAGAGUGCCAACACAGUCCAGUUUCGCUAACAACAAAGCAAGGUACAAGAUCAUCACUCAAUCUGAUAUGCAUCAAGGAAAGGAAAAAUGCCUUUGCUACACCUCUCUCGUGAAUGUACAGAUUGAUGUUUGUAAAUGUUGUUCGAGAGUAUGGUGCAGCACUGGUUUUUUGUGCUUCUACCUGAUGCUUCUACAAUGACAUCUUAUCAUGGCAAGAGUUGUGCAUUGUUUUCUGAGCACUUGCGAAAUGAAAAGUGAGCAUUUGUGCC